rnacentral:tRNA from 2 species
AAAUCCGUCGACUUUAUAAGUCGUGAGGGUUCAAGUCCCUCUAUCCCC